AGCCGUGCUGAUAUUCAGCACUCCGUCUUGUGUGAUAUUGCUUAACUGGCGUACGUUCAUCACAUUAUCUAGCUACAUAAGGGAGACCUAUAAAUAAAAAGUCAAAGACGGUCCAAAUCCUUGAGUCAUCUGACAAAACCAUGAAUGAAGAUGGAAUGGUUGACACAUAUCCGGGCAUGGAUCAUAUAUCAACCGCAGUAUUAAAAGGUCAUGUUCAUUUGUUUAUACCCGUCUACCUUUCUCCUUAACAAGCUAACAUUAGCUAACGUUCAUUUGAAUUGGAAAGUUGGCAAGUCAAGCUAGCGUGCUAAUUUUAACUAGGUAGCUUUGACUGUUAGCAAUUAAUAACUGCACGAACGGCCAUUCGUUGAUUGAGAAUGCUUUUUGCCAGAAAUAGUGUUAAUGAGGUGUAUAUGUGCCCUAAUGACUGACACCGUAGAUUAUUUAGCUUCGCCGUCUUUGGCACCCUUUCUAUUGACAAUAGAAAACGAAUAGAAAGAGCAUCAAAGACAGCGAAGCUCAAUUAUCGAUGGUAUCAGUCAUUGUCUACAAUCUUAGCUAGGCAGAGAAAGAUGAACUAACUAACAUUUUCAAUAUGUCACCUCCAUCCCCCGUCCCUCUCCAAACCCAAGAGACCAACAAGGUGCCACCAGAACCGUACAUUUUGUCAGCCCACAGUAUCUUAUAGUCUUAUACACAGAUACAGAGUUGGAGCAAUCAAGAAGCACCUUUUUUGAAAAGCAGCGUGCUGGACAAGGAGGAGACUAUAUCCUUUCCAAAGAGCUUCGCUGUCGAUUAAUCAGGAAUACAGUAACAAGCAUGAUAUCCAUUAAGAGAGCAACCGGGGAUGACUUCCAGUAUCCAUGCAGCCGUGAACUCACUGUAACGGUGAAGCGUCUGAUAGAGUACUACCCAAUGCUGCGGGACAGAUCUGCAACCAGUGGAGCUGAGUGGGAAUUUGUGAAGAAGCAGCUUUUGAAAAGGAUUCAGAAUGUGACAACCCCCCAAAAUGAAGCAGGGAGCGACCCCUUCAAGAAAGAGGCCACAAAGCCUUAGAUUUCAGAGCAGCCAGGAGAUGUCCACAGAUGAGACUGAUGAAUCCACCUCCUCAACCCAGAUCUUGGAGGGAUCCCCACAAUCUAGAUGCAGCACCCCAGAGGUUGAACAGUUGGGUGAAACUACUGAGAUCCUACAUAACCAGGUGAGACGUUAUAAAACUCUACAGGAGAUGUCCAAAACCAAGGCCAGACCCAACCAGAAGGAUGUUUCCCAGCUCCUGGACCUUGAAUUC